rnacentral:rRNA from 1 species
CCUACGGUGGGCAGCAGUGAGGAAUAUUGGUCAAUGGCCGAGAGGCUGAACCAGCCAAGUCGCGUGAGGGAAGACGGCCCUACGGGUUGUAAACCUCUUUUGUCGGGGAGCAAAGCGAACCACGUGUGGUUCAUUGAGAGUACCCGAAGAAAAAGCAUCGGCUAACUCCGUGCCAGCAGCCGCGGUAAUACGGAGGAUGCGAGCGUUAUCCGGAUUUACUGGGGGUAAAGGGAGCGUAGACGGUGCGCCAAGUCUGGAGUGAAAUGCCGCAGCUUAACUGCGGAACUGCUUUGGAAACUGGCGAACGAGAGUGCGGGAGGGGUAAGCGGAAUUCCUAGUGUAGCGGUGAAAUGCGUAGAUAUUAGGAGGAACACCGGUGGCGAAGGCGGCUUACUGGACCGUAACUGACGUUGAGGCUCGAAAGCGUGGGGAGCAAACAGGAUUAGAUACCCGUGUAGUC